GACGAACGCUGGCGGCGUGCUUAACACAUGCAAGUCGAACGGAAAGGCCCUGCUUUUGUGGGGUGCUCGAGUGGCGAACGGGUGAGUAACACGUGAGUAACCUGCCCUUGACUUUGGGAUAACUUCAGGAAACUGGGGCUAAUACAGGAUAGGAUCUCCUCCUGCAUGGUGGGGGUUGGAAAGUUUCGGCGGUUGGGGAUGGACUGGCGGCUGAUCGGCUUGUUGGUGGGGUAGGGGCUUACCAAGGCUUGGACGGGUAGCCGGCAUGAGAGCGUGAACGGCGACAUUGGUACUGCGGUACGCACCAGACUCGUACGGGAGGCAGCAGUGGGAAACAUUGCCCAAUGGGCGGAAGCCUGAUGCAGCAACGUCGGGUGCGGGAUGACGUCCUUCGGGGUGUAAACCGCUUUCGCCUGUGACGAAGCGGGAGUGACGGUAAUGGGUAAAGAAGCACCGGCUAACUACGUG
rnacentral:rRNA from 1 species